GUGAAACUACUUUCAGGGAUCAUUUCUAUAGUUUGUUACUAGAAGACUCUCAUCCUAAGUGAGGUAAGUCAGAAAGAGAAGGACAAGUACCAUAUGAUAUCGCUUAUAUUGGGUAAGGAACAUAUGGCACAAAUGA
rnacentral:snoRNA from 1 species